rnacentral:lncRNA from 9 species
AGCAGGCUCCUGGACAUGGCGGAAGGCGGAGGCUGGCAGGUGUGGCUCAGAUCUGACAUUGCUGUGGCUGGGGCGCAGGCUAGCAGCUAUAGCUCCAAUUCAACCCUAAGCCUGGGGAACUUCCAUAUGCCACAGGAGCAGCCCCAAAAAGCAAAAAAAAAAAAAAAAAAAAAAUCCUUGAAAAUGGUUAUCUGCACAGCAGGUUUUUGCGGUAGCUCAGGAGAAGAAUGAGCAUCUUGGAUGUGUAUGUGCCAGGUGCUCACCAAGGUUUCCUGGGCAUUGUCACGUGUGUGGCUGGUGCGGAGAGUGGACAUGUACAGGGAGCACGUGAGGCUGAGAGUGACUGUGACCACUCUCCUUUGCAGCGGUCCCUCUGUGAAAGUGAGCGGGCGAGAGUCCGGGCUGCGCAAAAGCACCCCGUAGUGUGGACCCCCAGGCGGAGUCCCCCCACAGACUGGCACCUCCCUCUGCCUCAGGACAAGGAUGGGUGACACCCUCACAACUUUCUCCGCGGGACCGGCCUCAGCAGUCUGGUGGGUCCCUCCAGACACCAGAGCCCUGUCUCUAGCCUCACCCAUCCUCAUUUGUGUUCAGGGGGCCCGGCUUCUGCCCCCAGGAAGACAAGCACCACCACAUCUCCCUUUGGGCAAUGUGGCCAAGCCUGGGAACAGCAGCACAGGUGGUGGUUCUCCUGAGGUCUGGACUUCUCAGGCUGCUGGCCUGACCAUGGUUUGGUAAUGGCCACUCCCUCAGCUCCUUUGCAGUUGCGGGUAGGCUGGUAUUGCCUCCUCAGAUGAUGAAUAGGCCCCUUGGCCAUGGACUUUGCUCCAGAACACACAGUCUUGUGUUAAAAGGAUUCAUGGACUCUUGGCUUAAGACACCCAAGCCCAAAACACAUGGAAUUUUAGUCUCCUUCCUUCUGAAUUCCCCUGGUCAUUUUUAGAGUAUGGAAUAUAUCAAAAGACAUUUCACACGUGAUUCCCAAUAGCUGAAAAUUAAUCCACAGUUAAAUUGUUGAAAUGGUUAGAUUUGGUACCUGACACUGUUGUGCUCUGGCAGUAUUAGAUUUUUGUAUGCUUAGAUGUUUUUUGUUGUUGUUGUUGUUGUCUUUUUGCCAUUUCUUGGGCCGCUCCCACAGCAUAUGGAGGUUCCUAGGCUAGGGGUCUAAUCGGAGCUGUAGCUGCCAGCCUCCGUCAGAGCCAGAGCAACGCGGGAUCCGAGCCGCAUCUGCGACCUACACCACAGCUCAUGGCAACGCCGGAUCGUUAACCCACUGAGCAAGGGCAGGGAUCGAACCCACAACCUCAUGGUUCCUAGUUGGAUUCUUUAACCACUGCGCCAUGACAGGAACUCCCUGCUUAGAUGUUUUUAAAUAUGUAUGUAUUUGAACCAACAAGAGCUCUAGGGAUUUUUUUGUUUUGUUUUCCUUUUAUGGCCGCACAUGAGGCAUAUGGAAGUUCCCAGGCUUUGGGUCGAAUUGGAGCCACAGCUGCAGGCCUACACCACAGCCACACCUAUACCACAGCCUUCAGCAAAGCUGAAUCCUUAAACCAGUGAGUGAGACCAGGGAUCGAACCCAUAUCCUCAGAGAGGCAGUGUCGACUUCUUAACUCACUGAGCCACAAAGGAAUUCUGAGAGUUCUAGUUCCUCAGAUGGUCUCUUCAUUACUAAUAAAAUGAUUUUCCUCUCUGGCUCCUUAGCAGGCCCCACUGUGUGCUGCUGCGGGCCAGGCCUGCUGCAUCUUGGUGCCUCCCUCAGGACUGGACCAUGGGGGUAGGUCAGACAUGAUGUAACUCGUUCCAUGGGGCAAAAUAAUCCAUCACUUCAGAAGGCCGUACAUUAAAGAAUAAAAUUUCCCAUUGUGUGUUUUCUCCUAUGCACCCUGAGAAUCCUCUGUGACUUGUGUGUGUACCUGUGAGUGGUGGGGUGUGGUGCACAGAGGACUCUGGAGCAGAGUUGAGUAUAAAGACCAGGAUCCCCCCAUCCCAGGGGAGGUCCCCGAUGUGUCUGAGGCAAAUGUGUCUGAAGUUCAUCCAUGGUGGCUGUGGCUGCCUUUCUGGGCGAGAAGGAAGAGGGCAGGUUGCCAGAGCUCUGAGUCCUCUGAAACAGGCUGCAGAGCUCUUCUUGCAGUUGGCACCUUGCCUGGAACUGCAGCAGUUGGUUUCCUGGGGUGGUAGCCAGGGCAGUGGUCCUAAGGGCUGUUUGUGCUCCCACCACUGCUUAUUUGGGGCCAUGGUGCCUGCCGUGAGGGCUCUCCCUCUUCCAAGACUCAGUGAGGUCCACCCCUCACAUCUGCACACUCGCUGGGCACGACUGGAGGCUCUGUACCACAGGCUUGAAACAGACAAGUGGCCUCUGAGUCCAGUUGAGUUCUGGGGGCAGAUGUGAAAAUUCACAUGUCAGCUGUGAAGAAAACGGACAAAAUGACAAGGAAGAGA